GGGGGGGGGGGGGGGUAUUUGUUUGUUUGUUUGUUUUUGUAAAGGGUCUAUAUUAUUAUGUUACCGGAGAAGUUUCAUGUUUAGUUUGGAAAGUUUUUCUUUUAUUUUAGAUACAGCGCGCGCGCAAGAUUGAGGAGACAUCACGUGACGCGGGUUUAUAUUAAGAAAAACUUAGUCUUUUUAUUUCUCUUUAGGUCGGGACGUUAAACAGACAACAUGUAUAGAGAUGGAAU
rnacentral:lncRNA from 1 species